rnacentral:rRNA from 1 species
GACGUAGGGGGCCAGCGUUGUUCGGAAUCACUGGGCGUAAAGCGCACGUAGGCGGAUUGUUAAGUCAGGGGUGAAAUCCUGGAGCUCAACUCCAGAACUGCCUUUGAUACUGGCGAUCUUGAGUCCGGGAGAGGUGAGUGGAACUGCGAGUGUAGAGGUGAAAUUCGUAGAUAUUCGCAAGAACACCAGUGGCGAAGGCGGCUCACUGGCCCGGUACUGACGCUGAGGCACGAAAGCGUGGGGAGCAAACAGG